GAUGAACGCUGGCGGCGUGCCUAAUACAUGCCAGUCGAGCGAACAGACGAGGAGCUUGCUCCUCUGACGUUAGCGGCGGACGGGUGAGUAACACGUGGAUAACCUACCUAUAAGACCGGGAUAACUUCGGGAAACCGGAGCUAAUACCGGAUAAUAUAUUGAACCGCAUGGUUCAAUAGUGAAAGACGGUUUUGCUGUCACUUAUAGAUGGAUCCGCGCCGCAUUAGCUAGUUGGUAAGGUAACGGCUUACCAAGGCAACGAUGCGUAGCCGACCUGAGAGGGUGAUCGGCCACACUGGAACUGAGACACGGUCCAGACUCCUACGGGAGGCAGCAGUAGGGAAUCUUCCGCAAUGGGCGAAAGCCUGACGGAGCAACGCCGCGUGAGUGAUGAAGGUCUUCGGAUCGUAAAACUCUGUUAUUAGGGAAGAACAAAUGUGUAAGUAACUAUGCACGUCUUGACGGUAUCUAAUCAGAAAGCCACGGCUAACUACGUG
rnacentral:rRNA from 1 species